GGGGGGGCAAGCGUUUGUUCGGAAUUACUGGGCGUAAAGGGCGCGCAGGCGGCCUGGCCAGUCCUACGUGAAAUCCCACAGCUCAACUGUGGAACUGCGUGGGAUACUGCCAGGCUUGAGUCCGGGAGAGGAGAGUGGAAUUCCCAGUGUAGCGGUGAAAUGCGUAGAUAUUGGGAGGAACACCGGUGGCGAAGGCGGCUCUCUGGACCGGUACUGACGCUGAGGCGCGAAAGCUAGGGGAGCAAACGGGGAUUAGAUACCCCGGUAGUCCUAGCCGUAAACUUUGAGCACUUGGUGUGGCGGGUAUCGACCCCCUGCCGUGCCGAAGCUAACGCAUUAAGUGCUCCGCCUGGGGGAGUACGGUCGCAAGGCUG
rnacentral:rRNA from 1 species